rnacentral:tRNA from 1 species
GCUCCGUUCGUCUAAUGGCAGGAUCGUGGUUUUUCAGUCCGCAGGCGGGGGUUCGAUUCCCCUACGGAGUA